GAGUAAUGCCUAGGNNUCUGCCCAGUCGAGGGGGAUAACAGUUGGAAACGACUGCUAAUACCGCAUACGCCCUACGGGGGAAAGGAGGGGACCUUCGGGCCUUCCGCGAUUGGAUGAACCUAGGUGGGAUUAGCUAGUUGGUGAGGUAAUGGCUCACCANNNCGACGAUCCCUAGCUGUUCUGAGAGGAUGAUCAGCCACACUGGGACUGAGACACGGCCCAGACUCCUACGGGAGGCAGCAGUGGGGAAUAUUGCACAAUGGGGGAAACCCUGAUGCAGCCAUGCCGCGUGUGUGAAGAAGGCCUUCGGGUUGUAAAGCACUUUCAGUAGGGAGGAAAGGGAGUGGUUUAAUACGCCAUUGCUGUGACGUUACCUACAGAAGAAGGACCGGCUAACUCCGUGCCAGCAGCCGCGGUAAUACGGAGGGUCCGAGCGUUAAUCGGAAUUACUGGNNNUAAAGCGUGCGCAGGCGGUUUGUUAAGCGAGAUGUGAAAGCCCCGGGCUCAACCUGGGAAUUGCAUUUCGAACUGGCGAACUAGAGUCUUGUAGAGAAGGGUAGAAUUCCAGGUGUAGCGGUGAAAUGCGUAGAGAUCUGGAGGAAUACCGGUGGCGAAGGCGGCCCCCUGGACAAAGACUGACGCUCAGGCNCGAAAGCGUGGGGAGCAAACAGGAUUUCUUACCCUGGUAGUCCACGCCGUAAACGAUGUCUACUCGGAGUUUGGUGUCUUGAACACUGGGCUCUCAAGCUAACGCAUUAAGUAGACCGCCUGGGGAGUACGGCCGCAAGGUUAAAACUCAAAUGAAUUGACGGGGGCCCGCACAAGCGGUGGAGCAUGUGGUUUAAUUCGAUGCAACGCGAAGAACCUUACCUACUCUUGAGUCCCA
rnacentral:rRNA from 1 species